UGGACUCGGCGGGCCCCGCACUCAGAGCGGCGUGCCGGCCCCGCCUGCCCUGGGCAGUGAAGGGCUUAGCACCUGGUCCAGCAGCUGCUGUGCUCGACUUCUCGCGGGGCCUUAGCUGCCUCCCCGCGGGGAAGGGCUUGGGACCUGCAGCCCGCCAUGCCUGAGCCUCCCCCCGCCCCCGCCGUGGGCUUCUGUGCGGCCCGAGCCUCCCCGACGAGCGCCGCCCCCUGCUCCACGGUGCCCAGACCCAUCGACCACCCAAGGGCUGAGGAGUGCGGGCUCAUGGUUACAGGAUUCCCAUUUCAGAACUACGACCAUUUGAAAAAUAGAAGAUUUAAAGAUUGACGCAAAGUGCAUGUACCAUGAUACACCAGGUCUCAUCUCCUGAAUAUUUGUCCUGCCCUGAGUUUUCACCUGAGGCCACCUGUACAACUGACUGGAGUAGUUCCACUGAUUUCUAAAAUGGAACAGGCAGGAUUGGUAUUGACUGUCCAAGAGCAAAGUCAGAUACAGAAUUCCCACCUUUGAGUUGUUCCUGUGUUGCAAUAUUAUGAUAAGGCUCAAGCUACCAGAGACACCCACUGUCACACUGGAGCCUGCUUCUGACCAAAACAUCCUCUGCCAAGCUAUAGACUGCUUCUGACCUCAGGUUUGCCAUUCUGAGCACAUAACAAAAAUAAAACAAGAAAAAGCAUAAGGUAUGAAAUGUUAUUCAAAAAAAGAAUGAUGAAACAAUGAACUAAAGCCUGGGCAGUAAAUAAUUCUGUCUUCAAGAUCCCACAGGGAAAUUUUUUAGAAAGACUUCCUACCUUUCCUACUGUUUGUAAUGUGCAUCUGGAAUACUAGAGAAAGAGUCCCUAAGGUUUGCUGGAAAAAUACCUUAGCUUCUGAGUCUUAGCUUUAUUGCUAAUAAACACUGGAUUUCUGGUAGUAGAGAAGGAAAUUUAGUAUUUCAUGAUGGUGAAAGAUGAAAAGAGAGGCUUUAUGGCUGUAUGAUUUGGGUAGAGCUUUUCAGUUAAUUAACAAGGAAAUAUCUGAAUUGAGUCAAUGAGGUACAGAGUUUAUUUCAUAUAGAUACUUUUAAACUUCAUAAUGCCAUGACAUACCUGAUUUGUUACUAAUGUCCACAACUUAUCCACGUGUUUAUGGCAAAAAAAAAAAAAAAAGUGCGUGAAGAAGAAAAUUAUAGUUUCAAAAAUUUCUAGAAUUUGGUUUCUGGAAGAAAAUACAAGUGUCUGUGUGUUUGUGUACAUAUAUUCUAGAUAGAUGAGCCAGUAAGAUAGAGUGAGCAUUAUUUUUUCUUAUCCAAAGAAAAAGAAAAGCAAUGCACAGGUAGAAGACCUGGUAAAUUUUGUAUCAUCAUAACCACCUAAAAGUUUCGUGUGGGAAGGUAAGUCAUAACUCCAAAUAUUUUUUUCUACUUAAAAAUUAAAAUUUGUACAAGAAUAUUUGAUCCAGAAGAAAUAUAUAUAUAUAUAAGGAAUUACUAGAAUUAGAAUGCAGAGCAUUUCAAACUAUCUUUAAUCCAAUGAUAUAGUUCUUAUAAAUUAAAAGUCAACAUGGCAAAUUACAAAUGUAAUAUUUAAGUGUGUCCUCAAGAAACUUAAAUAUAAAUAUUGCAAUAAUUUCUGUUAAAUUUAGUUUUAAUUCUCUUUAGUAAUGUAAAAUUCAUACCUUUAUUUUCAAAUAUAACCAUUGAGAUAAGAUCCAUUUAUCCUGGUGGAAAGUAGAAACAAAAGUGCUUUGCCUGGCAGCAAAAGAUACAAAACUUUAUCUGCCAAAAAAUUCUGAGCUAAUGCAGAACAAAGGUUUGCUGCUGGGGAGUAGGGGUUGCUGAGAAAGCCUAGUUUUAAAUCCCAGGUGCAGAGUUCUAGUGGUCCAAACAGUAGAAUUGGAUCCCCACCACCACCACUCAGCAGCCUAACCCAGAGAAAGAAGCAAGAGAAGCUUGCUGCUGGGAAAGGAUCAAGAAUAAAGAUAAGAUCCCUACUUUUGCACCAAGUGUCCAGGGACUGAACAAAAUUAGGGACAAAGCAGGAACUCAGAAGAAAGAUCUAAGCAUCACUCUAAGCCCAAGGGAACAGCAGCCCAUCUUUAAUUAAAACCACACUGGGGGCCCGGCGCAGUGGCUCAUGCCUGUAAUCCCAGCACUUUGGGAGGCCAAGGCAGAUGGAUCACAAGGUCAGGAGAUGGAGACCAUCCUGGCUAACACGGUGAAACCCUGUCUCUACUAAAAAAUACAAAAAAAUUAGCCAGGCAUGGUGGUGGGCACCUGUAGUCCCAGCUACUCGGGAGGCUGAUGCAGGAGAAUGGUGUGAACCCGGGAGGUGGAGCUUGCAGUGAGCCAAGAUCACGCCACUGCACUCCAGCCUGGGCGACAGAGCGAGACUCUGUCUCAAAGAAAAACAAAACAAAGCAAAAAACAAAAACAAAAAAAGAAAACACUGGGAAUUUGAUGUCUGUGGAGCACUGAAAAUGAUAAAAAACAAAACACAAACCUAGUUCAACUUAUGACAAGACAGAAUUCCUUAUGCUGACUGCUUGACAGAUGAAAAUGCGUGCCCAUUUCUCUGUGUAAUUAUCAUUUACCUUGGUUCCUAGCAUUCUUCUACAAAUAGUUUCUGGCUUUCAGCCAAACAUGAGAUACACAAAAAGGCAAGAAGAAAACAACCUGUUUUCAAUAGAUAAAGCAAGCAACAUAACUAGACCUAAAGAUGUGUCUGUGAGUCAGGACUAGGAUUAAUACAUACAUUUAAUACAUGUAAUAUUUAUUUAUUUCAUUGUAUGCAAUUUUUACAUAAAAACUAUAGUCUAUAGUCGUGUUGCAGAUUCAAGUUAAUAAUAUGCAAAGUAUUCAAGGGGAAAUGUAUUGAUAUCUUCAAUAUACAUUGAAAUUUAUUCAAAAAGGAAAUGUGUUAAUGGAUGAAAGAUCAAUAAAUUAAAAGUGUCUGACAAAACAAUAUAAUAAAAUCUUAAUUAUAGAACGCUGAGGGUAUGUAAAUUCAUUCAUUUUUUUAAAAUUUGAAAAUGUUUACAAUAUAAUAUUGGAAAAUACAAAUUAGAUGGCAUAUAUUUCAGAAAAUCCGCAUUGUGCAUUGUGCAGAAAUAUACUCCAGAAUAAUUAAGGGGUUCAAUUUAGGAGAAUAAACUUAAAAGUCUUAG